rnacentral:rRNA from 1 species
GACGAACCGUGCGAACGUUAUUCGGAAUCACUGGGCCUAAAGCGCGUGUAGGCGGGAGGGCACGUCCGUCGCUGAAAUCCCCCGGCUCAACCGGGGAACGGGCGUGGAUACGGCUUGUCUGGAGGGGCGUAGGGGGACCUGGAACUUCCGGUGGAGCGGUGAAAUGCGUUGAGAUCGGAAGGAACGCCGGUGGCGAAAGCGCUCGACUGGACCUCUUCUGACGCUGAGGCGCGAAAGCUAGGGGAGCAAACGGG